rnacentral:rRNA from 1 species
CCUACGGGUGGCAGCAGUGGGGAAUAUUGCACAAUGGGGGAAACCCUGAUGCAGCGACGCCGCGUGAGCGAAGAAGUAUUUCGGUAUGUAAAGCUCUAUCAGCAGGGAAGAAAAUGACGGUACCUGAAGAAAAAGCAUCGGCUAACUCCGUGCCAGCAGCCGCGGUAAUACGGAGGAUGCGAGCGUUAUCCGGAUGUAUUGGGUUUAAAGGGUGCGCAGGCGGCCUGUUAAGUCAGCGGUAAAAGCCCGGGGCUCAACCCCGGCGAGUCGUUGAAACUGGCGGGCUGGAGUUGGAGAGAAGUACGCGGAAUGCGCGGUGUAGCGGUGAAAUGCUUAGAUAUCGCGCAGAACCCCGAUUGCGAAGGCGACCUACUGGAACAUUACUGACGCUCAUGCACGAAAGCGUGGGGAGCAAACAGGAUUAGAUACCCCAGUAGUC